rnacentral:rRNA from 1 species
UACGGGGGGGCAAGCGUUGUUCGGAAUUACUGGGCGUAAAGGGUUCGUAGGUGGCUCGCUAAGUCAGACGUGAAAUCCCUCAGCUUAACUGGGGAACUGCGUCUGAGACUGGCAAGCUUGAGUGCAGGAGAGGAACGCGGAAUCCAGGUGUAGCAGUGAAAUGCGUAGAGAUCAUGAGGAAGACCAGUGGCGAAGGCGGGUCUCUGGACAGUUCCUGACACUGAGGCACGAAGGCCAGGGGAGCAAACGGG